ACCUGAGCUCCCUGCUCUUAGGCUCAGGGCUGUUCUAUGGCUUCUCCUCCUGCUGCUCUAUUCUCUGGGCAGCCCUAGCCUUGCUCCAUCCCUGGGGCUGGCUGUGACACACCGGUGGCUGCCUUGACACGCAUCCCAGCUGGUGUGGGGAUGGGAGCAAGGACCUCCCCGUCCUGAGGAUGUGUCCUCAGCUGUGGGGCCUCAUUGGUGUACAGGGGAGCUCCUGAGAUGAGGAAGGUUGCCAAAAGGACAGCCAGAAGGGCUGAGAGCUCACAGGCGUGUGGGAGGGCAGAGUUAUUUAAAAGACACCAUCCUGGAGUGCUCAAGGAGAUGUGUCACCAGUUUUCAAGCAGGCCUUCGGGAAGACUAAACAGCGGGGUUGGAAAGGCAGCGAUAAGCAAACAGGCAUCCUUCACAAACCCCAGAGUGAGAGGAAUGGAGAGACCGUGAACUGUGGAAGGUUGCGUGUGAAAACACGUGGGAGCAAGCCAAGAAAGAGUCUGAGGAGCAGCUUCCAAAAGGCAUUAGGAGAAAAUAUGGACUCUGUCAAACGCGUGGAGAUGCGGGCCAGGAGAGCCUCAAAGUUAGAAAACAAAACAAGGAGCUCAAAGGCGUUUAAAGCUGCAGCUGAAGGGCUGCGGCUCUUGGUUUGCUUCCAGGCAGGAAAGCUGCUGGGGCUGUUUGUGCAGGGGAAGCUUUCUCUGGGCAGGGUCUGCUUGAUGUCCUGACGGGUUGGAGAGGCCGGGGAGCGAGCAGCCACCCAGGAGCCUCUGUGGCAUGGCGGGGUUAUGUCCCCACGAUGGCUGGUGUGGGAUGUAACGUCCCCUCUGAGGAGACGGACCCUGGGGGUUGCUGGGGAGCUGUGCGGAUGCACGGCCGGUGCUGCUCAGAAUGUCAGCAGCAGCUGGAGCAGCCGGCUGUGGUGGACGCAUGGACAAAUAUGGAAUGUUAGAGAGGAGGCAGUGCGGUGCUGGCUGCUGGAGCAGCCUCCAGAUGAGCCUCUCGGCUCCUUGCAGAGGCCAGCAAGCGUGUGCUGGAGGGGGAGAGGAUCAGGAAGGACCGGUCCUGCGGUCCAGCAGGUCUUCAGCAGGUCCUUCCCCAUAGGCGCUGCAGGAGAGGUCACUCCACGGCGUACAGCAUGGGAAAGCAGCACCUACAGAGAGCCCCUGGCUCCCCACACCUCCGGAAGCCUUUUGCAACGCACCGGAGCCCGAAGCGGAGGCGCCUGCCCCAAAAUGCUCCUGCGGUGUGGAAGCAGCCAGCCUGUGCCACGAGCAUCACCAGCAGGCGGAGGUGGGACAGCAAGAGGAGGCGAACAGCACUGUGUAUAGAGCUGAGCCUCGUGACAGGGCUCGGGGCUGCGGUCAUCGGGUGCUGAGGAGAACACGGUCGGCCAAAAAAGGAUUUUGAGGCGCUUUGGAGCUAGAGUUGGUUUUGGUGCAGAGUGACAACAGCUUUUCUGCUUUCCACGCCAUGCUUUGCAAACGUUACUGUUGCAACCCUGAGACCCGCAGGAGAGCGCAGCAGCCGCCUUGUGCGGGGGUUGCACAGCCCCAUAGCUCUGAGCAGUGAAACCCCACUGUGGGGGCUUGCCAGCAGCCUCCCCAGGCACCUUGAUGCAUGCUCAGCCUGCUCCUGCACCAACUAGGCUGCCCUAGGGCUUCCUGGGAGCAGCAGCUCCCUGUUCCCUGGUAGGGCAGGUGGGGAGGCAGGGCUGGAUGCUGGUCCUUUGCUCCACAAGCACAGGCGGAGAUACAGCAUGGGAGAACAGAAGGGUCGAGGGGUGGUUUUGGGGGCACUGCAGCCUUGCCAAGCAGAGAGGUUUCCAAACCAGAGUUCAGGACCACAUCACCGCUCACCCUCCAGCUCCAGGCUACCCACAGCUGGAGCGGCCCCAUCCCUCCCAGUCCAGAAGCAACACAGAACCAGCUGCUCUCACCUCUCCAGGCACGUGUGCGGCAGCGCGGCGAGUCCUUUGCACAUCUUGGCACGCUGCUCUGUCCUCAGCUGCAAGAAAAGGGUGUGCGGUGGCUGCGACUCGAUCUGCAGCCCAGCUCCCCUUCCGACAGCUAUAUAGUGCAGUCAGCUGGACCCCUGCCAGCCCCCAGCGCCGUCCCGACGCAGCUGGCCCGGCCGCCCUGCAGUCUUGUUUUUCCCUUCUCCAGGCUCACAUGGGGAAAUGCGUGUGCUUGGGGUGAGAGUAGGGGAUGGCAGCACCGGGGCUGAGCUGCAGGCUGCAGAGCUUGGAGAAACCUGCAAGGCUUCCUCUUGUUGGUGUACCGGGCUCUGGUGCAGUGUUUAGAGGAGGUGCGUAGUAACGCUGCUUGCGAGCGAGCUUUUGUCCUACUAGAAUACCACCUGUAUGAAAAUGGAGUGCUUAGGAGAAGGGUUUGCCUUUGAAACAAACACUGUGGUUAAUGUCAAAGCCUCCGCUUUCAGCAGUGGUUAUCAGCACGUGAGUGAUAGGUAACGUUUGCUCCAGAACAAGUUGUAAGCGUAAAAAAAAGUAAAUGUUUUAAUGUUAA